UACGUAGGGUGCGAGCGUUGUCCGGAAUUAUUGGGCGUAAAGAGCUCGUAGGCGGUUCAGUAAGUCGGGUGUGAAAACUCUGGGCUCAACCCAGAGACGCCACCCGAUACUGCUGUGACUUGAGUACGGUAGGGGAGUGGGGAAUUCCUGGUGUAGCGGUGAAAUGCGCAGAUAUCAGGAGGAACACCAGUGGCGAAGGCGCCACUCUGGGCCGUAACUGACGCUGAGGAGCGAAAGCGUGGGUAGCAAACAGG
rnacentral:rRNA from 1 species